rnacentral:miRNA from 1 species
UGUGUGUGUGUGUGUGUGUGUGUUUGUGUGUGUGUGUGCGUGCGCACGCACACACACACCCACAUGCUCAUUCA